rnacentral:rRNA from 1 species
AUUGAACGCUCGCGGCAGGCUUAACACAUGCAAGUCGAGCGGAGAUGAGGUGCUUGCACCUUAUCUUAGCGGCGGACGGGUGAGUAAUGCUUAGGAAUCUGCCUAUUAGUGGGGGACAACAUCCCGAAAGGAAUGCUAAUACAGCAUACGUCCUACGGGAGAAAGCAGGGGAUCUUCGGACCUUGCGCUAAUAGAUGAGGCUAAGUCGGAUUAGCUAGUUGGUGGGGUAAAGGCCUACCAAGGCGACGAUCUGUAGCGGGUCUGAGAGGAUGAUCCGCCACACUGGGACUGAGACACGGCCCAGACUCCUACGGGAGGCAGCAGUGGGGAAUAUUGGACAAUAGGGGAAACCCUGAUCCAGCCAUGCCGCGUGUGUGAAGAAGGCCUUAUGGUUGUAAAGCACUUUAAGCGAGGAGGAGGCUACUGAGACUAAUACUCUUGGAUAGUGGACGUUACUCGCAGAAUAAGCACCGGCUAACUCUGUGCCAGCAGCCGCAGUAA